CUACGUGCCAGCAGCCGCGGUAAUACGGAGGAUGCGAGCGUUAUCCGGAUUUAUUGGGUUUAAAGGGUGCGUAGGCGGCCUGUUAAGUCAGCGGUGAAAUCUAGGAGCUUAACUCCUAAAUUGCCAUUGAUACUGGCGGGCUUGAGUGUAGAUGAGGUAGGCGGAAUGCGUGGUGUAGCGGUGGAAUGCAUAGAUAUCACGCAGAACUCCGAUUGCGAAGGCAGCUUACUAAGGUACAACUGACGCUGAAGCACGAAAGCGUGGGUAUCAAACAGGAUUAGAUACCCUGGUAGUCCACGCAGUAAACGAUGAUAACUGGGCGUAUGCGAUAUACAGUAUGCUCCUAAGCGAAAGCGUUAAGUUAUCCACCUGGGGAGUACGCCGGCAACGGUGAAACUCAAAGGAAUUGACGGGGGCCCGCACAAGCGGUGGAGCAUGUGGUUUAAUUCGAAGCAACGCGAAGAACCUUACCAGGUCUUGACAUCCCUCUGACCGCUCUAGAGAUAGAGUUUUC
rnacentral:rRNA from 1 species